rnacentral:rRNA from 1 species
GACGUAGGUGGCGAACGUUAUCCGGAAUUAUUGGGCGUAAAGGGUGCGUAGGCGGCAUGAUAAGUUAUUGGCGGCAAAUCGAGGCUCAACCUCGUGGAAACUAAUAAUACUUUCUUGCUUGAGUGCAGAAGAGGUUAACGGAACUCCAUGUGGAGCGGUAAAAUGUGUAGAUAUAUGGAAGAACAUCAAUAACGGCGAAGGCAGUUAACUAUUCUGUUACUGACGUUGAGGCACGAAAGCGUGGGGAGCAAAAAGG